rnacentral:rRNA from 1 species
UACGUAGGGGGCAAGCGUUAUCCGGAUUUACUGGGUGUAAAGGGAGCGUAGACGGUAACGUAAGUCUGAUGUGAAAGCCCGGGGCUCAACCCCGGGACUGCAUUGGAAACUAUGUAACUAGAGUACCGGAGAGGUAAGCGGAAUUCCUAGUGUAGCGGUGAAAUGCGUAGAUAUUAGGAGGAACACCAGUGGCGAAGGCGGCUUACUGGACGGAAACUGACGUUGAGGCUCGAAAGCGUGGGGAGCAAACAGG